ensembl:snoRNA
UAGUAAGCCUCCAGCAUGCGUGGGUCUGCAGUGACCCUGUGCAUUCCUAUAGCGCUUGCCAGAACAGGUUUGAAAUGGUUUGAGGCCUUGCCCUGCUCCAUGUAGAGCAAGGUCAGAAAUUUCAGGCAGUG